rnacentral:misc_RNA from 1 species
GAUGAAGAACGCAGCGAAAUGCGAUAAGUAAUGUGAAUUGCAGAAUUCAGUGAAUCAUCGAAUCUUUGAACGCACAUUGCGCCCGCCAGUACUCUGGCGGGCAUGCCUGUUCGAGCGUCAUUACAACCCUCAGGCCCCCGGGCCUGGCGUUGGGGAUCGGCGGAAGCCCCCUGCGGGCACAACGCCGUCCCCCAAAUACAGUGGCGGUCCCGCCGCAGCUUCCAUUGCGUAGUAGCUAACACCUCGCAACUGGAGAGCGGCGCGGCCACGCCGUAAAACACCCAACUUCUGAAUGUUGACCUCGAAUCAGGUAGGAGUACCCGCUGAACUUAAGCAUAUCAAUAAGCGGAGGA